rnacentral:lncRNA from 1 species
GCUGAGGGAUGCCCAAGAAGUUCCAGGGUGAGAACACCAAGUCGGCAGCGGCCCGGGCACGUAGGGCAGAGGCCAAGGCGGCCGCUGAUGCCAAGAAGCAGAAGGAGCUGGAGGAUGCCUACUGGAAGGACGACGACAAACACGUCAUGAGGAAGGAGCAGCGCAAGGAGGAGAAGGAGAAGCGGCGCCUCGACCAGCUGGAACGUAAGAAGGAGACGCAGCGCCUACUGGAGGAGGAGGACUCCAAGCUCAAGGGCGGCAAGGCGCCGCGGGUGGCCACGUCCAGCAAGGUCACCCGGGCCCAGAUCGAGGACACGCUGCGCCGAGACCAUCAGCUCAGGGAGGCCCCGGACACAGCCGAGAAAGCCAAGAGCCAUCUGGAGGUGCCGCUGGAGGAGAACGCGGCCGACCGGCACCCAGAAAGACGCAUGCGGGCAGCCUUCACAGCCUUUGAGGAAGCCCAGCUGCCGCGGCUCAAACAAGAGAACCCCAACAUGCGGCUGUCGCAGCUGAAACAGCUGCUCAAGAAGGAGUGGCUCCGCUCUCCUGACAACCCCAUGAACCAGCGGGCCGUGCCCUUCAAUGCCCCCAAGUGAGCCCAGAACUUGGGGAGCCAGUUCACCCACGGGUGGUCCAGGUCACGACUCUGCACGCCCUUAGGCCAGGUCAGCUGCGAGGGUCACAGAGCGUUCCGGGGGCCAAGGCGCCGGGCCCCGGGGCCAUGCUCUUAUCACCAGCCACCCGUCCUCCCGCCAGAGGGUCCCUGCCCCGAGUGACACCCCAUCCCCUCCCAUCCCCCGGCGCGUGUGUGUAGAGCCUCAGGGCUGAGUGCCCAAUAAAGGUGGCGGCAAGGCUGCGGUGAGGC